GUGAGGAAUAUUGCGCAAUGGAGGCAACUCUGACGCAGCCAUGCCGCGUGCAGGAAGAAGGCGCUACGCGUUGUAAACUGCUUUUAACCGGGAAGAAACCCCAGGACGUGUCCUGGGUUGACGGUACCGGAGGAAUAAGCACCGGCUAACUUCGUGCCAGCAGCCGCGGUAAUACGAAGGGUGCAAGCGUUAUCCGGAUUCAUUGGGUUUAAAGGGUGCGUAGGCGGAGCGUUAAGUCAGUGGUGAAAUCCUGCAGCUUAACUGUAGACUUGCCAUUGAUACUGGCGCUCUUGAUUGCGCUUGAAGUGGGCGGAAUGUGCCGUGUAGCGGUGAAAUGCUUAGAUAUGGCACAGAACACCAAUUGCGAAGGCAGCUCACUAAGGCGAUACUGACGCUGAGGCACGAAAGCGUGGGGAUCGAACAGGAUUAGAAACCCUUGUAGUCC
rnacentral:rRNA from 1 species